GCGGUUGUGGUUUAGUGGUAAAAUCCAUCGUUGCCAUGUGGAGACACUUCUUCAAUAACUUCGAUGGGCCCCGUGUUCAAUUCACGGCAUCCGCA